AUUUAAAGGUGAUUUAAAGAUAUUUCGAUAUUGAAUUGAGGUAUUAAAUAGCGGACUGUAUUAUUUCUAAUCGCCCUUAAUAUACUUGGUCUAGCCUAGAACACGACCAGAUUAGAGUGGCUAAUACGUGGAGUAAACUACCAAGGAGGAAACAAUUAGAAGCCUAAGAGGGCACUAAACGUAAGAAUUUACCUAUUCAACUAAAUACUAACUAAUGUAAAUCUAAAAUUUUAGGGAUUUUAUAAUCCUCGUAGAAUAAAGAUUAUAAAAUCGGAAAGGCCGUGGUUUCUCUGCAACAACUUAUAAAAUCCGUUUAAAAUGCCAUCAAAGAAAGUUGGCAACAAAUCGGCGAAGAUUCCGCCGCCGACGAACGUGAGCUGCAAUAUGUGCAAUUCUCCGGACAAUAGUCGAAUGGUGCAGUGCGACGACUGCAACAAGUGGUAUCACUACAGCUGUGUACAUGUAGAUGAAGGGAUCGCUGAUUACGACUGGUGCUGUGACGAAUG